rnacentral:rRNA from 1 species
AGUCGAGCGAACAGACGAGGAGCUUGCUCCUCUGACGUUAGCGGCGGACGGGUGAGUAACACGUGGAUAACCUACCUAUAAGACUGGGAUAACUUCGGGAAACCGGAGCUAAUACCGGAUAAUAUAUUGAACCGCAUGGUUCAAUAGUGAAAGACGGUUUUGCUGUCACUUAUAGAUGGAUCCGCGCCGCAUUAGCUAGUUGGUAAGGUAACGGCUUACCAAGGCAACGAUGCGUAGCCGACCUGAGAGGGUGAUCGGCCACACUGGAACUGAGACACGGUCCAGACUCCUACGGGAGGCAGCAGUAGGGAAUCUUCCGCAAUGGGCGAAAGCCUGACGGAGCAACGCCGCGUGAGUGAUGAAGGUCUUCGGAUCGUAAAACUCUGUUAUUAGGGAAGAACAAAUGUGUAAGUAACUAUGCACGUCUUGACGGUACCUAAUCAGAAAGCCACGGCUAACUACGUGCCAGCAGCCGCGGUAAUACGUAGGUGGCAAGCGUUAUCCGGAAUUAUUGGGCGUAAAGCGCGCGUAGGCGGUUUUUUAAGUCUGAUGUGAAAGCCCACGGCUCAACCGUGGAGGGUCAUUGGAAACUGGAAAACUUGAGUGCAGAAGAGGAAAGUGGAAUUCCAUGUGUAGCGGUGAAAUGCGCAGAGAUAUGGAGGAACACCAGUGGCGAAGGCGACUUUCUGGUCUGUAACUGACGCUGAUGUGCGAAAGCGUGGGGAUCAAACAGGAUUA